rnacentral:rRNA from 1 species
AUUGAACGCUGGCGGCAUGCCUUACACAUGCAAGUCGAACGGCAGCACGGGAGCAAUCCUGGUGGCGAGUGGCGAACGGGUGAGUAAUGUAUCGGAACGUACCUUUCAGUGGGGGAUAACGUAGCGAAAGUUACGCUAAUACCGCAUAUUCUGUGAGCAGGAAAGCAGGGGAUCGCAAGACCUUGCGCUGAUUGAGCGGCCGAUAUCAGAUUAGCUAGUUGGUGAGGUAAAGGCUCACCAAGGCGACGAUCUGUAGCGGGUCUGAGAGGAUGAUCCGCCACACUGGAACUGAGACACGGUCCAGACUCCUACGGGAGGCAGCAGUGGGGAAUUUUGGACAAUGGGCGCAAGCCUGAUCCAGCCAUGCCGCGUGAGUGAAGAAGGCCUUCGGUUGUAAGCUCUUUGUUUGGUAAGAAUCCUAACGGAUAAUACCUUGGGGAGUGACGGUACCAAAAGAAUAAGCACCGGCUAACUACGUGCCAGCACG